GCUUACGAUGGGCCGAACCUCAUUCUUGAGCAGGAUUGGUCAAGUAGAAGAGCGAGACAGAAGCAAUCGAUCCCGUAUCGUCUAAAAGCUGCUAGCAGCGCUCAUGGCUUCCAACCGGCGGCCGCUGGCUGAUUUGCUAAGAGAUGUGGCUGAACAGCUUGAAACGUAUUUUCAAACGUUUAGGCAGCAUAACAACAACAGCAGUUGUUUAGCUAGCUAAAUACUGUUGUUCAAGGUGGCAACAUAAUAAGCAAUACAACAAAAAAACCUUGUAUUAAACUGAACCAGCCUUCGCUUUUUUUCUUUUUUUUUGCAGCAGCAGCACCUGGAACCGCAAAUGUGCCAAUUUCACCUCCACGGCCACAUAACAUUACACCCGGGCACCCAGUGGAUGCUGAGGUUUCAAGACUGUUUGGUCCAUACAAUGGAGGAAGGAGGACAACAAGGAGGCGGUCUGUUGCCACGCCUGCACCACUUUGUUCUUACACCCACCUAUUUUGCUGUAUUGAGGAUAAAAAAGCAGCCAUAGUUCCCAACCGAUACGCAAAAGACAGAGUUGCUGCUGCAGGGCUUGGAGAAAAACGUCUCACAUUCCAAGGUAGUCACACCAAUCCAGAUGAAUUUAGGGAAAUUAUUUUAGAGGCAAUCCCAAAACUCAGACUAGGGGGAGGAUUGGAGUUGCUCAAAAUCUCUGGAACAACACGAAGUCGCCAACUGAUCCUCAUACCUCGUCCCAGUGAGGGUUACCAUGUGAGACAUUUGAAAGAUCCACAUAUGCAGAUCGGUCAUGCUACAAUUUUCGUCCGACCACUGCAAAGAAACCUCAAUCUUGAUCAUGAAGUUCAACAAGGAGGCAGUAAUGAGUUAGGCGGACACCUUCAGAAGUGUCUGACAUGUGGAGAGGAGUUCCCUUUCACAAGAAUCAAGGCUCACAGUGAUGAAUGCGUGAGUGGCAGUCAAUCAAUCAAUGACGUUGGGGUGACCACCACAGAAAGUGCCUCCCGAAGUGAAGGUAGAUUGUUCGGCAUGUUGACAAGACUACAGAGAAGUGAGACAACCAGGGCCAGCAACACAACACCUCAGGGACAUGUGGCUGCUCCUGAGAUAGUUGACCUGGUUCCCACUGAGGAGAGGGGCUUUCCAGAUUGGAAAAUUCUUUCAAAUCCCAGCGAUGCAGCAAAGACCUUCAAAGAAAAUAUUUUAAGCCAGCAUGCAACGGGAAAGUCCUUGUAUCUUGCCAUGGAUCUGAGAGACAGUGCGGAGGACAGGGAAAGGGCAUUGCUUUCUUUUUAUAAGAUGGCCAAUGUUGAGUGGGCUUGCCCCCUGACAUGCACACUCAAGGGAGAUCCAGCUAUUGGUGAUGGCGUCACUCGACAUUUCUUUGCAACCAACAUGUCCAAACGGCAACAUGGUUUUGAGAUGAAUUUUGGCACGUGACUAUUUUGACUCUUUGACUGAUGGCUGGUUGUCAGCUAUCAGGCUAAUAACGGAUCUGUCAACUUACCCAGAACGAAAGUGAUUCAGCUGCUUUGAUCCUGUGAUCACACAAAAUAUUCUGAUUCUGUAUGAUAGUUUGAAUAUAUGUUCUUGAAAUUCUUCCCUUUUGAUGUUCCUGUUCUCUUUUAAUUUAAGUGCCAGGAGGAGCUCUUCUUUUUGAGGGUGAACAAGAUUAUCUGAUUCCCUCCACCUUGCAUUACCUUUUGGAGAGUGACUUCUUUGUUGUUUCUGGCCGAAUGAUUGGUCAUUCAUUCCUCCAUGAUGGGCCUUGCCUUGGAGGACUGAGCCCAGCUAUCCUGGAUGUGCUCUUUGGUGGAUCCCCAGAAGAAGCGAUAAUCGAUAUUAAGGACUGUGCUGACCUUGAUAUCCGUGAGACAAUCAAAGUGCUGGAGGGUACAGGAGAAUUGUCAUCAGAAGAUAAGAACAAUAUUAAUGAGUUGGUACUGUCUUGGGAUUUGCCUCAAGUCACAUCUGAGAACAGAAGAUGGCUGCUGGACAAGCUGAUCCUCCACGCAAUCCUUGGAAGAACCUCAAGACAGGUUAAACAGCUACGCAGGGGGUUAAAGGAGACACUGAUCUGGCCUUUGCUAAUUGGGAGGAAAGACACAAUUCCCCUCCUCUUUCCAAGAGCAUCUCAUCUGCAGUGCACACCACAGGUCAGUGACCCCAUGACAAGUCUAAAGCACUCUUCUAAACUCACAUAAAUUGCUUUCUCAGAAACAUGCAGUUUUGUACUCCCAUGCAGCCAUUGGUUUAUGAAGUUGAGUUUCAUAGUAAUGAACUGACAGUAAUUGCUGCCUAAAAGGAAGGAGACCUGUUUAAGUGUUACCGUGUAAAAACAACAAUGUCAUAAUUUAAAGUUUUAUUAUUAUCAAAAAUGUCUCAUUAACCUUUCCACUGUAGUGUUAUAUUUAUAAUAAAUACAAAUUAAUAAAAUAAUGUGUUUGUCCUUGUUAAGGGCUGUUAACAUGACAACUGUGACGGCUCAGAGUUGAAGCGGUAAUUGUAAAGUAUUAACUGAUCCAGCAUCCGUGUUCACAUUCCGGAUUUUUCUUAAAGACAGGACAUGCAUGAUUUAUAUGACAGAGUGGGAGGGGUACACCUCUAAUUGUGUAUGAAUGUGCACGUGCAUGUAGACUACCUUUCUGCAUAAUAUAUAUAUA